GCAGAACCAGAACCUGAACUUUCGGCAUCAACAGUCGUCUCCUGCUCACACAGUUGAAUCUGUAAUUUCAGAACAUCUCGAGGGUAGAUUCAAGUCUCCUUCUUUGACUGUGUGACACCUCUCAGUUGGUCCUGGAAUAGAAACCCUGACUGAGACAGGUGGUGUGUACUGCAAGCAGCAGGGAGCUGGGUGUCACUUCUGUAUGGAGGCAGAGCCGAUGUCAAGAAGCACUUGCUUGCUGCCUUACAGUCUCAGUUCUGGGGACCCAGCAGGGGUCCGGUCCU